AGGGAUUUAGCUAAGUGGCAUAAGCGCCUGCCUGGAAUGCAGGUGGUCAGAAGUUUGAUCCAAAAAACAAUUCCCUU
rfam:Cavia porcellus supercont2_64 genomic scaffold, whole genome shotgun sequence.